rnacentral:lncRNA from 1 species
UCGGCUUCUCCGCAGCCACCUCUUCCUCCGUUUCCAGAAGCGGCUUCUCCUGAAGCUUCGUCGCAUCCUCCCCAGCCUCUGCUCUGAGCACCACCACCUCCGUCAGCAUCUCCUUGCCAUCUGUAAAUUGUUUUACAUGGUAUCAGAGCGGCGCUUCGAAAUUAGUUUUAUUUAGAACCUGUUUGGCUAAAAAGAAAUUAUGACAAAAGUAUAUAGAGAGAUACGUGUUUUCGGAGUAGAGCUAGAAUACUUGUAAAAGUAUCACCCAAGUGAUACUUUUGUGUUUUUAGUUCUUGGAUGGAGAGAUGUGAGGUUGAGAUGAUGGUGGUAGGUGGUGGUAAGUGGAAUAGUGUUUGAUCUAAAGGCUAUUAGUAAUCAAAAAGUAGAUCAAAUGGUUAAAAACACACAAAUAUCACUUAGGUGAUAUUUGUAAAAGUAUUCUAGCCCUACUUGUGUUUUCGUCGUUCAGUGAUAUAUAUUGCAGAAAUUAUAUCUUAAUCGACUAAUUAUGGGUAAAAAACAAAUGGAAAAUUUUUGGGCUUUACCUUUUCACUCCAUUUAAGGCAAUACACCCACAAUCUCAAAUGGAGCCUUAAAUAAAUUUCGACUUUUCUGCAACUACGUACGCAUAUAGAAAAAUUCUGUACAUUAGACUAUUACAAUCCAUAUAAGACAAAACACAUUCGGAUGGUUUACGUCAAAUGGACAGUGCGUUCAUCCAGUGUGCGUUAUUUUUUUUUUUAUUUUGUCUGCAUAGUUUGCACUCAAUCUAUGCUUAUUGAAAACAUGUUGAGACUUUUUAAAAAAAGUUUAAUGGGGGACAUGAAAACAUAAAAAAUAGGGCUUUUUUUGUAAUUAGCCCCCUAAAAAAAAUUUAUUUUAAAAAUAGUCUCAGCAAAUUUAAAUUUGCAAAAAUGGUCCUGAUCUUGCCAUGCAGGCGCUACAUCAACGCCACGUAGACGGAUUGAGGUAUUAAGUUGAAUACGGUGAAUCAUUCACCGUGUUCAAACACUCGUGUUCUAUAUUUAUCUUUUUCAUAAUACGUAUAUUUUUUUCUUUCUCUUUUCUUUCCCUACACACGGUGAACUAUUCACCGUGUUUAGAUACAAUGAAUGAUUUACCGUGUUUAACUUAACUAUCUGGCCCAGCCCAGCCCGCAUAGCGCUGACGUAGCGCCUACGUGACAGGGCCAGGGUCAGGACCAUUUUUUGAAAUUUAAAUUUGCUAGGGCUAUUUUUAAAAUAUUUUUUUUCAUGGGGCUAAUUGCCAAAAAGCUCUAAAAAAUAAAAACAACAUAGUUAAACAUGCAUAAUUUUUGAAAAUUAAGUAUAAGCAGUGUCUCUAUCAGAUAAUUAUAGGUUGUUUCACAUCACCUGUUGGUGACUUCAUGUUGAACGAGGCAGCAGGUGGUUUAUUAGCUGCUACUACAAGCACUGUAGCUCCAGGAACUUCAUGAUAAUUUUCCGCUCCUGAUCCCUUCUCUUCCUGAUCUAAUUUCAUCUCUUCUUCAGGGGCGAGAAGAGGGUAGCGGUGGCCGAAUGUGCCGAUCGCAAGGAUCCCGUUGAACAGCACGUCGUGGAGCAGCAAGGCUUCAGUGUCGCGCUCCGUGACGCUCUCGCGUAUUCUCUCUUCCUUCUCUUCUACCGCUUCGACAGAGAA